UUUUUUUCCUUAGAAAACUUUAUUGAUAAACGGAUGUUUUGAACAUAAAAGGUCCUGAAGAUCUUCUUCUAUGCAGACGAUUCUGUUCUGUCCCUCACAGCUUCAGGAAGGAUGGAACCUCCACUCCUGAGUCUGAACUUCAUCCCAGAACCUCUACAUUAAGGAGGUGGUGGUUCUUCUCCUGGGGAGACCAAAGGGUCCUGAUCAGGUGGAGCAUCCUCACACCCCUGCUGACCCUCUAUCUGUCAUCGGAUUCGAGCCGCUGUCACUGAUCCAUCACUAAGCAGCACAGCAGACGCACUUACGCCUCCUGCAGGUUGGUUCUGCCCCCUGCUGGUUCCCCCAGGCCUGUGAAGGAUGAACUUCAACAACUGGGAUGAACAUUUGGAAACCUUAAGUAAGAACCGGAUCCUCACCACAGCUCUGACUCCUGCCACCUCCUGGUUCUCACUGGUUCUCCUGCUGGAAGGGCCCCUGCAGACGGGUGGGAGGCCUUCCUGAGGGGGUCUCCUCCGUGUCAUGAUGGACUCCAUGCAGGCGUGGAACCGUCUCCAGGAGGAGCGGCAGGAACCAGCAGCAUGUGGGGUAAACAGGAGUCCCAGCAGAGGAAACAAAGCACCAGGAGAUCCUUCUGCUGUGGUAGAAAAUCCUCUGCAGCAGCUGGUUGCUCUGCUGAAGUUCCUGACGAUCGUCUGGUUCUGCGCUCGGUUCUAGUGGACCCUGGUUGAUGUGACUGUGCCAUAACGGUGGGUUCUCCAGCAGCUCAGGUGUUCCAGGAGGCUGCGGGACGUCCCAGGUGGAAACUUUUGUUCUUGUUUUGGGUCAAAAGAAUGAAAAUGUGGAAACUCUCCGUUUGUGAAGGUCCUGAGAAAGUCAUCAGAUCUGCAUGAAUCUGCAGGAAUCGGCCGCCCCCCCCUCUGUGUGGGGCCGUACCCCCACACAGAGGGGGGGGCGGCCCCUCAGAGGGGGCUUUGUGCGGCGCAUAGAGCUCCACUGUUCAACACCUCUGAGAAAUAUUGACUCUAAUGGUAAAAACCAGCAGCUCAGCCGUUUAGAGACGACUGUGUUGAUCUUUGGAGGUUAGCAGGUACUGACCCCCCCCCAUAUUAUAUACAGAGUAUUUUCAGAGGGCGGGGGUCACAGUGACCCCUGAAAUAAUUUUAAAAAACAGGGAGGGGGAGUUAGAAAAGCUUAACCAAUUAUUUAAAGAAGCAGAUGUUGAAUCUUUUUCACAGUUAAAGGAACAGUUCUGACUCCCGUCCAAUGAUCUUCACAGAUUAGACAUUAUAUCAGAAAGAAAAACUUUAAUGAGUAAAAUGCCCAACGCAAUUGAAGAAUACUUUAUAAGUAUUCAGGACAAAGAUUUACCACAUAAGAAACAUGUUUCUAAUACCUAUAAGAGACUUGUGAUGAGGAACACAUUGUCUGUCAAAGAAAAGUGGGAGCUGGAACUAAACACUAUUAUAGAAGGUGAUGUGUGGGAAGAUCUGUGUGCAACAAGCCAGAAAGGACCUAACAGUCAAAUGUGGAAAGAAAUGAAUGAGGAGAUAUUCCAACACCCCUCUGGUCGUCUCUAGACUUCUGAAAUCACCCUCAUUGCAACUCUGCUGGAGAAAAUGUGGAAAGUGGGAGACCUGACUCACGUUUUCUGGGACUGCCCUGUAAUCCAGAACUACUGGAGGAGUAUAAAGACAGAAACAGAAAGGAUGUUACAGAGAUCCCUGUUGAACCUCUAUUAUUUCUACUAGGAUUUACUAAAAAAGCAGAGUUACAUUUGGAACAGUCAACAUCUCAAAGAUACUCCUUCUAAUAGCCAGAAAAUGAUUACAAUAAACUGGAAAAAGGAAGAGGCUCCAACAAAAGAUGGAUACAAAAACUCAAACAAGUAUAUUUAAUGGAGCGAAUGACGGCAUGAAAAUGGAAGAAUUUACCCAAAGAUGGGCUUGUGUUGCCAAAUACAUCAGAGACUAAAAUGUAAAGGUUGCACUGUAGAGGAUCCUAGUUAAUUGAAUUUUACGGAAUUUGUUUAUCUUACUUUUCUUGUAACUAUGAUUGUUGUGUAAUUUUGUUUAGUGUGAAGAAGCCAUCUUUAUGUGUAAUAAUACCUCUGCUCACGCUGUACCCAUGUGUGAUGUUCUACCAAGGAACAAAAACUCAAUA